rnacentral:rRNA from 1 species
UACGUAGGCAGCGAGCGUUGUUCGGAGUUACUGGGCGUAAAGGGUGUGUAGGCGGUUCUUUAAGUUUGGUGUGAAAUCUCCCGGCUCAACCGGGAGGGUGCGCCGAAUACUGAGGGACUAGAGUGCGGGAGAGGAAAGUGGAAUUCCUGGUGUAGCGGUGAAAUGCGUAGAUACUGGGAGGAACACCGGUGGCGAAGGCGGCUACCUGGACCGGAACUGACGCUGAGGCGCGAAAGCGUGGGUAGCAAACAGG